AUGCAUCUUUUACAGACCUGAAGCAGUUAUGUCUGCUGCUAAGGUUUCCACUGCAGAUGCAAGAAAAAAGUGCCCUUGUGCUUUCUGUCUGUCUGUGGCAGCCAAGAUUGAGUAAAGGAAUACAAAC
rnacentral:snoRNA from 1 species